rnacentral:rRNA from 1 species
GCUUAACACAUGCAAGUCGAGGGGCAUCAGGAAGAAAGCUUGCUUUCUUUGCUGGCGACCGGCGCACGGGUGAGUAACACGUAUCCAACCUGCCCUUUACUCGGGGAUAGCCUUUCGAAAGAAAGAUUAAUACCCGAUAGCAUAAUGAUUCCGCAUGGUUUCAUUAUUAAAGGAUUCCGGUAAAGGAUGGGGAUGCGUUCCAUUAGGUUGUUGGUGAGGUAACGGCCCACCAAGCCUUCGAUGGAUAGGGGUUCUGAGAGGAAGGUCCCCCACAUUGGAACUGAGACACGGUCCAAACUCCUACGGGAGGCAGCAGUGAGGAAUAUUGGUCAAUGGGCGCUAGCCUGAACCAGCCAAGUAGCGUGAAGGAUGAAGGCUCUAUGGGUCGUAAACUUCUUUUAUAUAAGAAUAAAGUGCAGUAUGUAUACUGUUUUGUAUGUAUUAUAUGAAUAAGGAUCGGCUAACUCCGUGCCAGCAGCCGCGGUAAUACGGAGGAUCCGAGCGUUAUCCGGAUUUAUUGGGUUUAAAGGGAGCGUAGGUGGACUGGUAAGUCAGUUGUGAAAGUUUGCGGCUCAACCGUAAAAUUGCAGUUGAUACUGUCAGUCUUGAGUACAGUAGAGGUGGGCGGAAUUCGUGGUGUAGCGGUGAAAUGCUUAGAUAUCACGAAGAACUCCGAUUGCGAAGGCAGCUCACUGGACUGCAACUGACACUGAUGCUCGAAAGUGUGGGUAUCAAACAGGAUUAGAUACCCUGGUAGUCCACACAGUAAACGAUGAAUACUCGCUGUUUGCGAUAUACAGUAAGCGGCCAAGCGAAAGCAUUAAGUAUUCCACCUGGGGAGUACGCCGGCAACGGUGAAACUCAAAGGAAUUGACGGGGGCCCGCACAAGCGGAGGAACAUGUGGUUUAAUUCGAUGAUACGCGAGGAACCUUACCCGGGCUUAAAUUGCAGUGGAAUGAUGUGGAAACAUGUCAGUGAGCAAUCACCGCUGUGAAGGUGCUGCAUGGUUGUCGUCAGCUCGUGCCGUGAGGUGUCGGCUUAAGUGCCAUAACGAGCGCAACCCUUAUCUUUAGUUACUAACAGGUUAUGCUGAGGACUCUAGAGAGACUGCCGUCGUAAGAUGUGAGGAAGGUGGGGAUGACGUCAAAUCAGCACGGCCCUUACGUCCGGGGCUACACACGUGUUACAAUGGGGGGUACAGAAGGCAGCUAGCGGGUGACCGUAUGCUAAUCCCAAAAUCCUCUCUCAGUUCGGAUCGAAGUCUGCAACCCGACUUCGUGAAGCUGGAUUCGCUAGUAAUCGCGCAUCAGCCACGGCGCGGUGAAUACGUUCCCGGGCCUUGUACACACCGCCCGUCAAGCCAUGGGAGCCGGGGGUACCUGAAGUACGUAACCGCAAGGAUCGUCCUAGGGUAAAACUGGUGACUGGGGCUAAGUC